AACGCGAAGAACCUUACCUGGGCUUGAACCGCUACUGACCAACGGUAGAAAUAUCGUCUUCCCGCAAGGGACAGUAGUAGAGGUGCUGCAUGGCUGUCGUCAGCUCGUGCCGUGAGGUGUUUGGUUAAGUCCAGCAACGAGCGCAACCCCUGGGUUUAGUUGCCAGCACGUAAUGGUGGGAACUCUAAACCAACUGCCUACGCAAGUAGUGAGGAAGGUGGGGACGACGUCAAGUCAUCAUGGCCCUUACGCCUAGGGCAACACACGUGCUACAAUGGCAACUACAACGCGCAGCAAUACCGCGAGGUGGAGCGAAUCGCUAAAAAGUUGUCUCAGUUCGGAUCGGAGUCUGCAACUCGACUCCGUGAAGUUGGAAUUGCUAGUAAUCGGGGGUCAGCACACCCCGGUGAAUACGUUCCCGGGCCUUGUACACACCGUGUCGA
rnacentral:rRNA from 1 species